UCUACUUUUCCUAGGCGCUAGCGGUCUGAUUUCAAUGGAAGAGCUGUCUUUUGAGCAAAUUGAUUUAUUUGCGCGAGAGACAGUUGAUAACGCUGUAAGAGACACAGAUGAGCUGCCAGGGCAAGACGCGAUUAUCGAUCUAACUGAGGAGGACGAGGAGGAGGAACAUUCACCCGGUCCGAGCAACGCCGAUACACAGAAGCGCC